GAUAAGUGGGGGGACCAUAUUCAUAUAUUCGUGUUCUAUAUUAUUAAUUUCUUUUGAAAUCGAUUGUUUUUGUAAGGUCUGUGAACACGAAUAUAUGAAUAUGGUCCCCCCACUUAUCGACCUUU